CAGCCGCCACGGUAAUACGGAGGGUGCAAGCGUUAAUCGGAAUUACUGGGCGUAAAGCGUGCGUAGGCGGUUCGUUAAGUCUGUUGUGAAAGCCCCGGGCUCAACCUGGGAAUGGCAAUGGAUACUGGCGAGCUAGAGUGUGUCAGAGGAUGGUGGAAUUCCCGGUGUAGCGGUGAAAUGCGUAGAGAUCGGGAGGAACAUCAGUGGCGAAGGCGGCCAUCUGGGACAACACUGACGCUGAGGCACGAAAGCGUGGGGAGCAAACAGGAUUAGAUACCCCCGUAGUCCCUGUCUCUUAUAC
rnacentral:rRNA from 1 species